AUUGAACGCUGGCGGAAUGCUUUACACAUGCAAGUCGAGCGGCAGCGCGGGGCAACCUGGCGGCGAGCGGCGAACGGGUGAGUAACACAUCGGAACAUACCCAGUCGUGGGGGAUAACACUUCGAAAGAAGUGCUAAUACCGCAUACGUCCUGAGGGAGAAAGCGGGGGAUCUUCGGACCUCGCGCGAUUGGAGUGGCCGAUGUCAGAUUAGCUAGUUGGUGGGGUAAAGGCCUACCAAGGCGACGAUCUGUAGCUGGUCUGAGAGGACGACCAGCCACACUGGGACUGAGACACGGCCCAGACUCCUACGGGAGGCAGCAGUGGGGAAUUUUGGACAAUGGGGGCAACCCUGAUCCAGCCAUUCCGCGUGAGUGAAGAAGGCCUUCGGGUUGUAAAGCUCUUUCGGCAGGAACGAAACGGCGCGCUCUAACAUAGCGCGUUAAUGACGGUAC
rnacentral:rRNA from 1 species